rnacentral:rRNA from 1 species
UCAUGGCUCAGGAUGAACGCUGGCGGCGCGCCUAACACAUGCAAGUCGAACGGUUAAAGCCCUUCGGGGGUGCAUAAAGUGGCGAACGGCUGAGUAACACGUGGGCAACCUGCCCCCCGCUUCGGGGAUAGCCUCGGGAAACCGUGGGUAAUACCGGAUACUCCGCCCACCCCGCAUGGGGAGGGCGGAAAGCGCAUACGGCGGGGGAUGGGCCCGCGGCCUGUUAGCUCGUUGCGGGGUAACGGCCCACCAAGGCUAUUAUGGGUAGCCGGGUUGAGAGACCGACCGGCCAGAUUGGGACUGAGACACGGCCCAGACUCCUACGGGAGGCAGCAGUGGGGAAUCUUGCACAAUGGGCGAAAGCCUGAUGCGGCGAACCGCCGCGUGCGGGAUGAAGGCCCUCGGGUUGUAAACCGCUUUCAGCAGGGACGAGGCGCAAGUGACGGUACCUGCAGAAGAAGCCCCGGCUAACUACGUGCCAGCAGCUGC